AAAAUGGGUGGUAAAUUUCAUCUAAAGCUAAAUAUUGGCGAGAGGCCGAUAGCGCACAAGUAGAGUGAUCGAAAGAUGAAAAGCACUUUGAAAAGAGAGUCAAAAAGUACGUGAAAUUGUUGAAAGGGAAGCGCUAGAGACCAGACUCGGGUUGGGGUGAUCAGCGGUGCUUCUGUGCCGUGCACUUGUCCCUUCCCGGGCCAGCAUAAAAAUGUGACGGCGGGAUAAAGGCCCGAGGAAUGUGGCUCCCUUCGGGGAGUGUUAUAGCCUCGGGCGCAAUGCCGCCUGCCGCGACCGAGGACCGCGCUUCGGCUAGGAUGCUGGCAUAAUGGUCUUCAGCGACCCGUCUUGAAACACGGACCAAGGAGUCUAACAUCUAUGCGAGUGUUCGGGUGUAAAACCCCUGCGCGUAAUGAAAGUGAACGGAGGUGGGAACCCUUCACGGGGUGCACCAUCGACCGAUCCUGAUGUUUUCGGAUGGAUUUGAGUAAGAGCAUAGCUGUUGGGACCCGAAAGAUGGUGAACUAUGCCUGAAUAGGGUGAAGCCAGAGGAAACUCUGGUGGAGGCUCGCAGCGGUUCUGACGUGCUACAUCGAUCGUC
rnacentral:rRNA from 1 species